GAUGAACGCUGGCGGCGUGCUUAACACAUGCAAGUCGAACGGUGAAGCCACUUCCUGUUUGGUGGGGGUGGACGUGUGGCGAACGGGGGAGUAACACGUGAGUAACCUGCCCCCUUUUACUUGGUAACCACAUGACAGAGUGGCUACUACUGGAUAUUCUUGGUCUGUCGCAGGAUGGGUCUGGGAAAGAUAUUGUUUCGGUGGGGGAUGGGCUGGCGUCUUAUUAGCUUGUUGGUGGGGUGAUGGCCUACCAAGGCGGUGAGGGGUAGACGGCCUGAGAGGGUGGGCGGCCACACUGGGGCACAGACACGGCGCCGACACUUACGCGGGGCAGCGGAGGGGAAUAUAGUAGAAUGGGGGCAAGCGUGAUGCCGCGACGCCGCGUGAGGAAUGGAGGCCUCCUGGUUGUGAUCAUCUUUCGCUAGUAAAGCAGGCCUGCCUCGUUUGUGGGUGGGUUGACGGUAGCUGAAUAAGAAGAGCCGGCUAACUACGUG
rnacentral:rRNA from 1 species